CCCACUGGUUGCGAUAAAA
rnacentral:snRNA from 1 species